rnacentral:snRNA from 1 species
GCUCAUUCCUGAGCACAUACUAGAAUUGGAAGAUCACAGAGAAGAUUAGCAUGGCCGCUGCACAGCAAGAGUAACCCUUAAUAUACCCAACCGAGCUUU